UCGAAGCCUACAAAGCACGACCGCGAAUGAGUUUGCAAUCGGCGGAGCGUCAAGAGCCCUAGUGGUCAUUGGCGCCUCCUUGCUCGUUUGGCAAGGGGCAUUUCCUCCUUGUCUUUCGAAUCUAACGAACCCCGGCGCAAACUGCGCCAAGGAAUCAAAACGAAAAGAACUUGUCCCUCGACCCGUUGAUCGGGCUUUGAGGGCCUUGUCUGUUCAUAAAGUAUCAUAACGACUCUCGGCAACGGAUAUCUCGGCUCUCGCAUCGAUGAAGAACGUAGCAAAAUGCGAUACUUGGUGUGAAUUGCAGAAUCCCGUGAAUCAUCGAGUCUUUGAACGCAAGUUGCGCCCGAAGCCUUUAGGCCGAGGGCACGUCUGCCUGGGCGUCAUGCACUGCGAUGCCCCACACAAUUGGUUGGGCGAAUCAUGGCCUCCCGUUAGCCCCACUAGCGGAUGGCUUAAAAAAGAGCCUCGAGACGGAAUGGCGUCGCGACAAGUGGUGGUUGAAGAGGCUUCGGCCUUCGAANUUAGCAUGUCGUGCGCCUUUCCCCCUCCUUUUGGUCGAGCAAAGACUUCAAUGGAGUGCUUCAAUCGCAUUCCAGCAACC
rnacentral:misc_RNA from 1 species